rnacentral:misc_RNA from 1 species
AGCAGCCGCGGUAAUUCCAGCUCCAAUAGCGUAUAUUAAAGUUGUUGCAGUUAAAAAGCUCGUAGUUGAAUUUCGGGAUUGACACAUCGGUCGUGCCUUAAGGGGUAUGAACUGGUGUAGUCAAUUUCUCACCUUCUGGAGAACCGCGAUGCCCUUAAUUGGGUGCCGCGGGGAACCAGGACCUUUACUUUGAAAAAAUUAGAGUGUUUAAAGCAGGCAUUUUGCUUGAAUACAUUAGCAUGGAAUAAUAAAAUAGGACGGCAUGAUUCUAUUUUGUUGGUUUCUAGGAUCACCGUAAUGAUUAAUAGGGAUAGUUGGGGGCAUUAGUAUUCAAUUGUCAGAGGUGAAAUUCUUGGAUUUAUUGAAGACUAACUACUGCGAAAGCAUUUGCCAAGGAUGUUUUCAUUAAUCAAGAACGAAAGUUAGGGGAUCGAAGACGAUCAGAUACCGUCGUAGUCUUAACCGUAAACUAUGCCGACUAGGAAUCAGACGAUGUUAAUUUUUUAAUGACUCGUUUAGG